AGAGCGAACGCUGGCGGCAGGCUUAACACAUGCAAGUCGAGCGGGCGUAGCAAUACGUCAGCGGCAGACGGGUGAGUAACGCGUGGGAACAUACCUUUUGGUUCGGAACAACCCAGGGAAACUUGGGCUAAUACCGGAUAAGCCCUUACGGGGAAAGAUUUAUCGCCGAAAGAUUGGCCCGCGUCUGAUUAGCUAGUUGGUGAGGUAACGGCUCACCAAGGCGACGAUCAGUAGCUGGUCUGAGAGGAUGAUCAGCCACAUUGGGACUGAGACACGGCCCAAACUCCUACGGGAGGCAGCAGUGGGGAAUAUUGGACAAUGGGCGCAAGCCUGAUCCAGCCAUGCCGCGUGAGUGAUGAAGGCCCUAGGGUUGUAAAGCUCUUUUGUGCGGGAAGAUAAUGACGGUACCGCAAGAAUAAGCCCCGGCUAACUUCGUGCCAGCAGCCGC
rnacentral:rRNA from 1 species